rnacentral:rRNA from 1 species
CAGUAGCCGCGGGAAUACGAAGGGGGCUAGCGUUGUUCGGAAUUACUGGGCGUAAAGCGCACGUAGGCGGAUAUUUAAGUCAGGGGUGAAAUCCCGCAGCUCAACUGCGGAACUGCCUUUGAUACUGGGUAUCUUGAGUAUGGAAGAGGUUAGUGGAAUUGCGAGUGUAGAGGUGAAAUUCGUAGAUAUUCGCAGGAACACCAGUGGCGAAGGCGGCUAACUGGUCCAUAACUGACGCUGAGGUGCGAAAGCGUGGGGAGCAAACAGGAUUAGAUACCCCGGUAGUCCCUGUCUCUUAUAA